UUGGAGGGCAAGUCUGGUGCCAGCAGCCGCGGUAAUUCCAGCUCCAAUAGCGUAUAUUAAAGUUGUUGCAGUUAAAAAGCUCGUAGUUGAAUUUCGGGAUCAGAGUGUCGGUCGUGCCUCGGUACGUACUGGUAUUAUUGGUUCCUACCUUCUGAAGAACCGCGAUGUCAUUAAUUUGGUGUCGUGGGGAAUCAGGACUGUUACUUUGAAAAAAUUAGAGUGUUUAAAGCAGGCUAACGUCUGAAUACAUUAGCAUGGAAUAAUGAAAUAGGACGGACUGAUUCUAUUUCGUUGGUUUCUAGGAUCACCGUAAUGAUUAAUAGGGAUAGUUGGGGGCAUUAGUAUUCAAUUGUCAGAGGUGAAAUUCUUGGAUUUAUUGAAGACUAACUACUGCGAAAGCAUUUGCCAAGGAUGUUUUCAUUAAUCAAGAACGAAAGUUAGGGGAUCGAAGACGAUCAGAUACCGUCGUAGUCUUAACCAUAAACUAUGCCGACUAGGAAUCAGACGAUGUUAAUUUUUUAAUGACUCGUUUGGCACCUUACGGGAAACCAAAGUGUUUGGGUUC
rnacentral:rRNA from 1 species